GACGAACGCUGGCGGCGUGCUUAACACAUGCAAGUCGAACGGAAAGGCCCUGCUUUUGUGGGGUGCUCGAGUGGCGAACGGGUGAGUAACACGUGAGUAACCUGCCCUUGACUUUGGGAUAACUUCAGGAAACUGGGGCUAAUACCGGAUAGGAGCUCCUGCUGCAUGGUGGGGGUUGGAAAGUUUCGGCGGUUGGGGAUGGACUCGCGGCUUAUCAGCUUGUUGGUGGGGUAGUGGCUUACCAAGGCUUUGACGGGUAGCCGGCCUGAGAGGGUGACCGGCCACAUUGGGACUGAGAUACGGCCCAGACUCCUACGGGAGGCAGCAGUGGGGAAUAUUGCACAAUGGGCGGAAGCCUGAUGCAGCAACGCCGCGUGCAGGAUGACGGCCUUCGGGUUGUAAACCGCUUUCGCCUGUGACGAAGCGUGAGUGACGGUAAUGGGUAAACAAGCACCGGCUAACUACGUG
rnacentral:rRNA from 1 species